UACGAAGGAUGCAAGCGUUAUCCGGAUUUAUUGGGUUUAAAGGGAGCGUAGGCGGUCUUAUAAGUCAGUGGUGAAAUCCUAUCGCUUAACGAUAGACGUGCCAUUGAUACUGUAGGACUUGAGUACAGAUGCCGUUGGCGGAAUGUGUCAUGUAGCGGUGAAAUGCAUAGAUAUGACACAGAACACCGAUUGCGAAGGCAGCUGACGAAACUGUAACUGACGCCGAGGCUCGAAAGCGUGGGGAUCAAACAGG
rnacentral:rRNA from 1 species